UAUCAUUUUAGCCAGCUCUUCAUCAAUGCUGUGCUGUUUGGAUGGGGUCAUCACUUUGGGUAUAAACUGGCUUAUUUUGCUUUGAGCUGCAGUAAGAGAGGUUAUACCUGCAUGUGUGUGGAAGCCAGUAGAUGCUGCUGCAGUUGCUGUUUUUUGGGGAUGAGACAAACCAGGAUCUGUAGAUGGUGUGCUAGCUUGCCCUCUCUCCUCUAACUGCACUGUAGGAUGGACAGUUCUCACAUGUCUAUGCAGGUUUGUGGUGGAACCUGCUCUUAAAGUAAUUUUCAUCUUGCAGUGAAUGCACUCUGCUUUGUUGUUUCCAUCGUCUUUAAACUGGAGCCAGAUGCUGCUUCUCUUUCGGGUGUCACUCAUAGUUUCAAAUACGCCAACUCACACACUCUCCUCACCGCUAUCUGACAGACAGUGUCGUUAUUAACGUUGUUACGACUCGUUAACUUGCAGUGGAGUGCCGCUUAACUUCACCCCCCUCUCUGUUUUUACAUAAUGGUAUGAUCCCAUAUCCUCACAUCUGAUUGGCCGCGAUGCGAUUGCUGACCAAUCAAAACAAAGUUCUGCCUUGAGGUAAGCCGCGAAAGGAAAAAAACUGGGAGCCGGCUCUCACUCGAUGCGAGCCGGCUCUUCUGAUUCACUACAAAGCAUCGGCUCUCAGAGCCGCAUCUUUUGCGCAUGACACAUCACUAGAAGAGAGGUCUGUUGUUCACUGCACGUGUGACCAGCGCGUUAUCAGCACCUGCUUAUUCUCUAACACACAUCAUAGGAAAGGAAACUUACUGUUAGUACAGUUUUACGACACGAAAGUCCACUGGGGGCGCUAAAGAGAAGACCUCUGUGUGACACAUCGAUGACGGUCGACUCCACAUACAACACGAUUGACAGUCAGAGAGAUGCCGGGAAACACACAGGAAUUGUGCCCCGGGUGCAACACCCUGAUAAGUGUUGCAUUCAAGACAUGCUCACUCUACAAACAACUCCAGCUGUACAAAACAAAAGUUGCAACAAAGAGAUGCAACUUUCAAAAUAAGAAGGCUGAAUGGAAGAAGUCAAUCAAGAAAAACAACAACAGGACAGUUGUACUUAAUAGCUGCCAUGUAAUGAAGCUACUUCCACCAGCCCCCCAGAAGCUACUUCCACCAGCCCCCCAGAAGCCGCUGCCACCAGCCCCCCAGAAGCCGCUCCCACCAGCCCCCCAGAAGCCGCUCCCACCAGCCCCCCAGAAGCCGCUCCCACCAGCCCCCCAGAAGCCGCUCCCACCAGCCCUCCAGAAGCCACUGCCACCAGCCCCUCAGAAGCUAUUGGCAUUGAUAUCACAGGCUCAUCAGCCGCCACAAGACCCCAAGCCCAGAAGGCCAAAAAUAGACCAAGAAAUGAAGUACACUGAUCCAGUCCAACAGAUGGAAGCCAGCAAGAAAAAGAAAAAGUGUUAAGUACAUUUUCUGUAUUUACAUUUGCAUCAGUAGCUUUCCUGUAGCCCAUUGGUAAGAGCUUUGCAUUAACAGCUUUGGAUAAAAGCGUCUUCCAAAUGAAUAAAUGUAAAUGUACAUUAAUAUGAUUUAUUAACUACUCUUUGAUUCUGCAGUCGCUGUUUGGUUUUAUUUGUAGCAAUAUACUUAUUUCAAAAUAAUAUUGCCUAUCUUUCAGAUGAGUGUCCAGAAUGCUGUAGGAGAGUGAGCCAAAACAACUUUGAUUACUCCAAGGUUUUGAAAAAAAGAGGAACAGAGGAGGUCCUCAUUCGUUGGGUUCCAUGCAAGACCUGGUACGUGUACUAAUCGACAGUUUAUUACAUACACACAAUAUACAACAGUUUUAAUAUUUGGGUAACAGUAACAAUGUCAAUAGUUCACUGAAAUGUUAAAAUAUUUUCAAUUGUUAUAUUUCAUAAAGUGAUAUAACAGUUUGCUUGCCUGACAGAGUUACUCAGCAAAUGUAAAUUUUUACUCAAAACGUUGUCUCUUACAGUGGAACCAAAUGGAAGGACUCAUGGGAGCCUUCUUCUUUUCUUGAAGAAUGAAUUAGAAAUAUGUAAAUUAAUUUAAAAAUGGGGCUUGUUGUUCAUUGCCUAAAAUGUAUAUACCUUCAGGAAUAAUUUAAUAAAAAUCAGUUUUGUAUGCAUCAUUAUUGGACAUGGUAUGUCUCUUAGAGUAUGUCUUUAAUGGUACUAAUUUAAUGGUGCAUGUGUUGCCUUUUAAACUUCCAAAAUGUUGCUGUUCAAUAUGAAAUUGAGUCCAUGUGCAAGAGCAAUUUAGCUGCCCUGCCUGCACCCCAGCAAUGCUUACAUAUUGGUUGAAGGAAACAUUACUGUUGAAAGUGUAUUGCAAGGUAUUCUAGAAUCUACACAUUCACACAUGAAUGGCAAAAUACACAACUAUGUAUUGUACACCAAGUUACCUUUAUCCGUGUCAAAUCUUAAAUGUUAGUUCCAUUUGUUCUUGUGUUUUUUAGAUCUGAAAGUGGUCGGGAUGUGAAUACAUUUCAGAAUGUCAUUGGAAUACGCAUUUGUGUUGGGGCUUGGUUGGCAGCCAGAGAGAAUUCCCACAGAUCCUUCAAGAAGGUUUAUGAGGAGCAACUGGAGUUGGCAGUCUGCAGGCACGUUGAGCAGAGAACAUCACAAUGCUGCUGGUUCCACCUUAGGGCAGGAAGUGGAGAAGUAGUUGACUUCUAAAGCUAUAUAGAUCUCCCUUGGGACCUGGAAACCCUGAAUGCUCCCCUUCACCUGGAAAUGAGAGCAUGGGCAGAUGGUUUGGGUGACUUGACAAAGGAUGCUACAUAUGCAGUCAACUGUCUUCUCAAUCGGUGGUACCACUCACUCAGUAGUCAACACAAACAGGCUGUAAAUGCAUACAGCAGUAUAGCCGUUAUGGAGGACAUUGAGGACAACUCUCCGGUGCUGAAGAUGUGCACAAAAUAGACUUUCCUUUCUAUUAAACAGCCCUUUUUUUGAGGUGAUUUACUGUAGAUAGGGCUCAUUACAAACCCAACUGUUUGAAAAUAGUGCACUUUGAUUUUUUAUUUUUGAACUAAAUCUACUAAGUGUUGUCACACAUAGCUUACAGAUAAUCAAGGCCAAAGGUCCACCACAUAUAUAAUGGCAAUUCUAAGCUAUUAUUAAGAUAAACUCAAAAAUUGAAGAAGGAAUUUGCAAAUACUAAUAUUGGACUAUUAUUAUUAAUUUGGUUCAGCUUUUUUGUGACAACAAAGCUGUAGUUCCUCCAGACUGGCGUCACUACAUAGCAAGUUAAUCAUGCUAAUUUCUUAAAUAAUUUAGCAUCUUAUUACAAAGCAUACUUUGUUUUUCACACGCUUAAAUUGUACAGAUUUUAAGGGAAAAUAUUUUGUGUAUUAUUGUGUGUGUGUGUGUAUGUAUGUAUGUAUGUAUGUAUGUAAGCUAUGAUUGCAAUAGAAUGUGGAAAUGUCUUCAUUUGUCUUGAUGCAUACAUGCUGUUUGUCGUUUAAGCAUACUUGUUGAUGAACCCCAUCAAAUGGAAUUUAAAUCAUAGAUGUAUUUCUGUAAUGAUUGCCAUAUCGCAUCAUCCAAGUGUACAUCAAUAUAGACAUAAAUCAAAUCCACUUUCACUGACAUUCUGU